rnacentral:tRNA from 1 species
GCCCCCAUCGUCCAUGGGCUAGGACACCGGGUUUUCGCCCCGGGGAACGGAGUUCGAGUCUCCGUGGGGGUA